UAUGGCCACAUCAUGAUAAAACACUGGUUCCUGUACGAUCACCGAAGUUAAGCAACGUCGAGCCUGGUCAGUACCUAGAUGAGUGAUUGCUGAGUAAUACCAGGU